AGAAGGAACUAGAUAGAUUAGGUGAAUCGGGUUGGAAGUGAAAGCCACCAAAAAGUAGCGGAAUGCUCUCAAAACCAAUUCACUUGAGUGAGACAGAAGAGAGUGGAAUUUCAUGUGUAGGGGUGAAAUUCGAAGAUCUACGAAGGAAAGCCAAAAGCGAAGGCAGCUCUCUGGGUCACUACCAAUGCUGAGGUGCAAAAGCAUGGGGAGCGGACAGGAUUAGAAACCCUGGUAGUCCAUCCCGUAAAUGAUGAGUGUUCGCCCUUGGUCUACGUGGAUCAGGGGCCCAGCCCCUGCUUUUUCU
rnacentral:ncRNA from 1 species